UACGUAGGGGGCUAGCGUUGUCCGGAAUCAUUGGGCGUAAAGAGCGUGUAGGCGGCCCGGUAAGUCCGCUGUGAAAGUCGGGGGCUCAACCCUCGAAUGCCGGUGGAUACUGUCGGGCUAGAGUGCGGAAGAGGCGAGUGGAAUUCCUGGUGUAGCGGUGAAAUGCGCAGAUAUCAGGAGGAACACCAGCGGCGAAGGCGGUGCUCUGGGCCGGAACUGACGCUGAGGAGCGAAAGCGCGGGGAGCGAACAGG
rnacentral:rRNA from 1 species